UACGUAGGGUGCGAGCGUUGUCCGGAAUUAUUGGGCGUAAAGAGCUCGUAGGCGGUGUGUCACGUCGGCCGUGAAAACCUGGGGCUUAACUCUGGGCGUGCGGUCGAUACGGGCAUCACUAGAGUUCGGCAGGGGAGACUGGAAUUCCUGGUGUAGCGGUGAAAUGCGCAGAUAUCAGGAGGAACACCGGUGGCGAAGGCGGGUCUCUGGGCCGAUGACUGACGCUGAGGAGCGAAAGCAUGGGUAGCAAACAGG
rnacentral:rRNA from 1 species